UGUCUCAAAGCCUUAUAGGG
rnacentral:misc_RNA from 1 species